UACGUAGGGACCAAGCGUUGUUCGGAUUUACUGGGCGUAAAGGGCGCGUAGGCGGCGCGGUAAGUCACUUGUGAAAUCUCUGAGCUUAACUCAGAACGGCCAAGUGAUACUGCAGUGCUAGAGUGUGGAAGGGGCAAUCGGAAUCCUUGGUGUAGCGGUGAAAUGCGUAGAUAUCAAGAGGAACACCUGAGGUGAAGACGGGUUGCUGGGCCAACACUGACGCUGGGGCGCGAAAGCCAGGGGAGCAAACGGG
rnacentral:rRNA from 1 species